GAUGCUAUUAUCAUAAUCUGGACGUUUACAAUUAUCUGUAAUUUGCAAAGAUGCGCCAGGUCUUGAUUACAGCAGUUUUUUUUUAUCAAGCUAACCAUCACUAAACAGUGACAGUAAUAACAGCUAAUUUUGCUGGCAAUAUAAGAGGUGCUGGGGUGUGCAAACAAUUUCACACCUGGAUGUGCUCACUCAACCAAGAAUAUAGAGAAAGAGCUUCUGCCCUGAGACUCAGAAAAAUAUCCUACACCGCUUCUGGUCGGUAUAGGUUCCCAGACCCCGAUCCUUGCCUAACCGAUUGGCGCAGGGGGGCUUGGUUCAAAGAGGAUUGGCAGCCACGGAAGGAUCUCACCAAGGCUUCCAUGACUUCUAGUCACGUCAUUAAUGAAGACCUUUUGAACGUUUUGGUCUUCUACCUUCCACGUGAAGAGAAAUAAUGAUCCUGCCUUUGAAAAAUGACUUAAAAUUGACAGGGAUGUAGAUAUUAACCACUCUUAUACCUCCUUAGAAGCAGUAAGAAAUGAAAGAGCAUUUACAGAAAGACUGUGUUUUAUUAUAUUUACAACAAUGGAACUGGAAUAUAACCUUUUUAUUUAAAAAUCAAGCUGCAGAUUAAGUUUUGAUUGCAGUAUUUUGUACUGAAAAUAAGAAUAAUGGAAGCAAUUAAGUAUUCAUAGUCCUGCUCUCACACAAACACCUUCCAUGGUGAGCCUGUUUAUGCAACUGAGUGUGCCAUACAAUUGUUUUUAUUACCUUCUUAUAAAACAGCCUGUAUAAAACACUUUCUUUUUGAUUGUUUCUUUGUGUAUUGUUGAGCGUGUUUGCAUUCUAAAGGGCUUUGCCUCAUUAAAGCAAUUACUGCAAAC